rnacentral:piRNA from 1 species
UGGGACUCACGUGCUGCGACUUCCAAGUG